rnacentral:rRNA from 1 species
CGAUUCGCCCUUCGGGGUGCAGCAGGCGCGAAAACUUUACAAUGCUGGCAACAGCGAUAAGGGGACCUCGAGUGCCAGGAUACAAUCUUGGCUGUCGCGAUGCCUAAAAAGCAUUGCAUAGCAAGGGCCGGGCAAGACCGGUGCCAGCCGCCGCGGUAACACCGGCGGCUCGAGUGGUAACCGCUAUUAUUGGGUCUAAAGGGUCUGUAGCCGGCCGGAUAGGUCUUUUGGGAAAUCCAGCUGCUCAACAGUUGGGCUUUCAGAAGAUACUGUUCGGCUCGAGACCGGGAGAGGUGAGAGGUACUUCAGGGGUAGGGGUGAAAUCUUGUAAUCCUUGAAGGACCACCAGUGGCGAAGGCGUCUCACCAGAACGGAUCUGACGGCAAGGGACGAAAGCUAGGGGCACGAACCGGAUUAGAUACCCGGGUAGUCCUAGCCGUAAACGAUACUCGCUAGGUGUCAGCCACGGUGCGACCGUGGUUGGUGCCGUAGGGAAGCCGUGAAGCGAGCCACCUGGGAAGUACGGCCGCAAGGCUGAAACUUAAAGGAAUUGGCGGGGGAGCAC